UGAGUAAGCCGGAUAGUCGCGGGUACAGUGCCGAAAGGCCGUACACGAGGAAAGUCCGGGCUCCGCAGGGCAGGGUGCCGGGUAACUCCCGGUGAAGGCGACUUCAAGGAAAGUGCAACAGAAAUAUACCGCCUGCUGAAGAUUGAGGUCGAGUGCUUUCGGUUUUCAGCAUGGUAAGGGUGGAAAGGUGAGGUAAGAGCUCACCAGCGGUAUGGCGACUUACCGGCUAUGUAAACCCCACCCGGAGCAACACCGCAUAGAGGGACGUUAAGGUGGCCCGCCAGUCCCGGGUAGGUGGCUUGAGCUAUAUAGAAAUAUAUAGCCUAGAUAGAUGACUAUCCAAGACAGAACCCGGCUUACAGGCUUACUCAAUAU
rnacentral:RNase_P_RNA from 21 species